rnacentral:rRNA from 1 species
AGCGCACCUUCGGGUGAGCGGCGGACGGGUGAGUAACGCGUGGGAACGUACCCAGAUCUGCGGAAUAGCCACUGGAAACGGUGAGUAAUACCGCAUACGCCCUUCGGGGGAAAGAUUUAUCGGAUUUGGAUCGGCCCGCGUUAGAUUAGGUAGUUGGUGGGGUAAUGGCCUACCAAGCCUACGAUCUAUAGCUGGUUUUUAAGGGAUGAUCAGCCACACUGGGACUGAGACACGGCCCAGACUCCUACGGGAGGCAGCAGUGGGGAAUCUUAGACAAUGGGCGCAAGCCUGAUCUAGCCAUGCCGCGUGAGUGAUGAAGGCCUUAGGGUCGUAAAGCUCUUUCGCCUGUGAAGAUAAUGACGGUAGCAGGUAAAGAAACCCCGGCUAACUCCGUGCCAGCAGCCGCGGUAAUACGGAGGGGGUUAGCGUUGUUCGGAAUUACUGGGCGUAAAGCGCGCGUAGGCGGAUUAGUCAGUCAGGGGUGAAAUCCCGGGGCUCAACCCCGGAACUGCCUUUGAUACUGCUAGUCUUGAGUUCGAGAGAGGUGAGUGGAAUUCCGAGUGUAGAGGUGAAAUUCGUAGAUAUUCGGAAGAACACCAGUGGCGAAGGCGGCUCACUGGCUCGAUACUGACGCUGAGGUGCGAAAGUGUGGGGAGCAAACAGGAUUAGAU